rnacentral:lncRNA from 1 species
UGUUGCCAGAGGUAAGUCAAAGUUACCUUUUACCAGGGGGUCCACAAGGGCUUCGGGUCACAGCAGCAGCAGCACGGUAGGUGCGAAUGGGCCAGAGGGGGCCAAAAACGGCCUCCGUUCCCCGUCUGUCCCUAGGACAGACUCCGACUUGAAAGCGUGACCUGGUUUCUCGUCGUUUACACCACUGUUAGUGUUUUUACUCUUGCUUUUAACUUUUAAAAAAGAAAAUGCUCCAAGAUUGUUUAUGGAAAGGGUUACAAAAUGCUUAAAUAACAACUACAACAUUCUUAACACCUAUUUCUUGUCAGGCAGGUGCGACCUUGCGACGGCACGUGCUUAGGUUGCCCUGAUCUGGCAGGACCCAAAUACUUCUACGUACCACUGGGUGAUUCGGAUUCCUGCCUGGAGCAGGUGCUUGUCCUCGGCUUGUCCUUGAAGAUCCCGCAAUUCUGUGAAUCUUUGAUUGGUCAGUUAAUACUGGGAAGAUACUUCAAGCACCUGGGAAUAGGGCGCCUGCCAGAAACACACUGACUGGCUGCUUUUCUNUCCUUCUUUCCCUCCUCCGAGUGGUUCCGUUCUGUAAGAUGUACGGAGGGAAGUCCCCAACGCUAAAUUAAACUCCAACGCUUCUCUGCCCUCCCUCUGACACAAGAGCCGGGUUGUUGCUCCGUCCAUCAGAGAAAGGAGCGAGAUGUACGCAGGCAAAGACAUCUCCGGCCUCCUCUGGCCCAAAUUCAGACCAGAAACAGGGCGAGUGCCAAGGAGCACGCUGCAACCAUCCACAGGGCGGCUGCCUGUCNCAGUCUGCCUUGGGAGCCCGAGAAACAAAAGUUCCCUGCCUCUGAAGCUGCGGGACGUGGGGGUUUUAGCGGCACACAGGGGAAGCAUUUCUGUGGGGCUGUUUCCAGAGCCUGGGGAAACGGGGCAGCGUCCCACGGACGCCACAGGCCGCUCCAGCAUCCAUGUGGCGAUGGGUGGAGCAUUGCGAGGCCUGGGAACCCUUGGGAGAUCACCUGGAAGCGCCCUCCCUUUCGGGCACGUCCUGGGGAGCGUCGCGUUCCAUGCGCAAGGACGCGUGGCCAGAGCGCUCCCUGGGAGGCGAGGCGAGGCGAGGCGAGGCGAGGCCGUGCUCCAGGACUCUCCCUCCAGAAGAAGCAGGGCGUAGAACUUUGCGCGGACGGCUCAAAGCCAGAGAGUCACUUGCUCCUUCCUGUGCGGCUCUGUGGGAGCUGCUAGUACAGUUCAGGAAUGCAACACGUCGGGCAUCUCCGCUCGGCCCCCUCCCACCCUCUCACCUCCGCAUCCCCGCGCCAUUAGGAAGCGCCGCGCUGCGUGUGAACUCCAGGGAGCUCCACGUGCGGCCCAAGGGAGCGGAGGCAGCUGCUCGGGGGCGCCUGUCCUCCCCAGUCCCUCCCAGGCACAAUGUCCACUGGCCACCACUGAUCCUCAAAGAAAGAAGCAGGAACGUUCAAGGCCAGAAUGGGGCCUCUUGGCUGCUUGGAGCACCUGGUCCUACUGAACGGGGAGCUGCAGAACCACUCGGUGAGCAUCCAGCACGGUGGUGUGGAAGCACAAUAGGGGUAAGGCCGGGUCAUCGCUGCCUCCCCUGGNCCUGGCCGGGCAGUGAUCUUAGCUAGGUCGGGAUGCCUGGGCGAAGACCCUCUCGCUUUAUAACAAGGCUGGAGUCCUACGCUUCGAAGAAUUUGCUUGCAUCCAAGCAAAAUAUGUUCCCAUGCUGCAACCUACACUAAGGAUGAGCUUCAGCCAGCUGCUAAUGUUUUUUUUCCAUUUUUUUUCAUAUUUGCCCAAGGACACUUCACAACAUGCCAGAUUGACCCUUAUAUGCACACUGAUGAGGCCGGUAAGGGAAGUUAUAAACAUACCAAGAAAGCAGAGAAGAACAGAAUGAGCAAAACGAAGCAUUAGAGGGCUAAGGAAGUUCUAAUUUAGAUAAAGCGCACAAAAAUAUUGUCUGUUGAAUUACGUGCUGCUCCUGACCACUGUGUUAUUAUGCCACAUAAUCUAGGCCCUNCAGAUNUUCCUGGACUACGAGUCCCAGCAUUCUGUGCCAGUCCUACAAAUGGAAUGCUGGACGUUGCAGUCCAGGAACAACCCCCAGUUGAAGACUCCUCUUUAGGCCAGUGGGUUUCAUGCUGUGGCCUUCCGAAGGUUCCCAGCAUGCUUUGCGAGCCCCAGCAGUGCUGGGAGUUGUUCAGGGACAUCUGGAGGCCUGNNGUUUGGGAGCCACUGGCCGAGGCCACAGCGGGGUCACCAAGAUGGGGCGAAGGAGAAGAGGAGCCUNGUGAGACUAGCAGCCGAGCCAACCGGAGGAAGAGACGGGAAAGCAAAGGCAUUCAGACGCCCUCAUGACACAAAGAAGUCAAAGCACCAAAGCAGGCACCAGAGCUGGAAGGACGAAGGAGAAGCAAUGGUGUGUUUGUGUUUGCACAGAAAGGCUGGAAAACUUCAGAGCCAAAANGGAUGAACUGAGGCGCUUGAUCACAAGCAGGGGAGAGACGCAGCUGGCAUAGCAGAGACCUGGCAGGAACGCAAGGACCGGUGGGUGCAGUCAUCACUGGGUGCCGCCUGAAUGGGGAAGGCAGCCAAGCGUGCCCUGGAGACGGUAUCAUCCUGUGU